rnacentral:rRNA from 1 species
CCUACGGGUGGCAGCAGUGGGGGAUAUUGCACAAUGGAGGAAACUCUGAUGCAGCGACGCCGCGUGAGGGAAGACGGUCUUCGGAUUGUAAACCUCUGUCUUUGGGGAAGAAAAUGACGGUACCCAAAGAGGAAGCUCCGGCUAACUACGUGCCAGCAGCCGCGGUAAUACGUAGGGAGCGAGCGUUGUCCGGAUUUAUUGGGUGUAAAGGGUGCGUAGGCGGACUGGAAAGUCAGCGGUAAAAUCCAGGGGCUCAACCCGUGUCCGCCGUUGAAACUGUUGGACUUGAGUGGGCGAGAAGUAAGUGGAAUUCGUGGUGUAGCGGUGAAAUGCGUAGAUAUCACGCAGAACACCGAUGGCGAAGGCAGCAUACCGGCGCGCGACUGACGCUGAGGCACGAAAGCGUGGGGAGCGAACAGGAUUAGAUACCCGUGUAGUC